GGCGACGUAGCUCAGUAGGUGAGAGCGCUCGACUCAUAAUCGAGAGGUCGACAGUUCGAAUCUGUCCGUCGCUA
rnacentral:tRNA from 1 species